UACGUAGGGUGCGAGCGUUAAUCGGAAUUACUGGGCGUAAAGCGUGCGCAGGCGGCUCCAUAAGACAGAUGUGAAAUCCCCGGGCUUAACCUGGGAACUGCGUUUGUGACUGUGGGGCUCGAGUGUGGCAGAGGGGGGUGGAAUUCCACGUGUAGCAGUGAAAUGCGUAGAUAUGUGGAGGAACACCGAUGGCGAAGGCAGCCCCCUGGGUCAACACUGACGCUCAUGCACGAAAGCGUGGGGAGCAAACAGG
rnacentral:rRNA from 1 species